AUUGAACGCUGGCGGCAGGCCUAACACAUGCAAGUCGAGCGGAUGAAGGGAGCUUGCUCCUGGAUUCAGCGGCGGACGGGUGAGUAAUGCCUAGGAAUCUGCCUGGUAGUGGGGGAUAACGUCCGGAAACGGGCGCUAAUACCGCCUACGUCCUGAGGGAGAAAGUGGGGGAUCUUCGGACCUCACGCUAUCAGAUGAGCCUAGGUCGGAUUAGCUAGUUGGUGGGGUAAAGGCCUACCAAGGCGACGAUCCGUAACUGGUCUGAGAGGAUGAUCAGUCACACUGGAACUGAGACACGGUCCAGAGUACUACGGGAGGCAGCAGUGGGGAAUAUUGGACAAUGGGCGAAAGCAUGAUCCAGCCAUGCGGCGUGUGUGAAGAAGGUCUUCGGAUUGUAAAGCACUUUAAGUUGGGAGGAAGGGCAGUAAGUUAAUACCUUGCUGUUUUGACGUUACCAACAGAAUAAGCACCGGCUAACUUCGUG
rnacentral:rRNA from 1 species